rnacentral:rRNA from 1 species
GUCGAGCGAAUGGAUUGAGAGCUUGCUCUCAUGAAGUUAGCGGCGGACGGGUGAGUAACACGUGGGUAACCUGCCCAUAAGACUGGGAUAACUCCGGGAAACCGGGGCUAAUACCGGAUAACAUUUUGAACUGCAUGGUUCGAAAUUGAAAGGCGGCUUCGGCUGUCACUUAUGGAUGGACCCGCGUCGCAUUAGCUAGUUGGUGAGGUAACGGCUCACCAAGGCAACGAUGCGUAGCCGACCUGAGAGGGUGAUCGGCCACACUGGGACUGAGACACGGCCCAAACUCCUACGGGAGGCAGCAGUAGGGAAUCUUCCGCAAUGGACGAAAGUCUGACGGAGCAACACCACGUGAGUGAUGAAGGCUUUCUGGUCGUAAAACUCUGUUGUUAGGGAAGAACAAGUGCUAGUUGAAUAAGCUGGCACCUUGACGGUACCUAACCAGAAAGCCACGGCUAACUACGUGCCAUCAGCCGCGGUAAUACGUAGGUGGCAAGCGUUAUCCGGAAUUAUUGGGCGU